AAAAUAUCACAAUAGGAAAUUACUAAUUUAGUUUAAAACUAAUCUAAUUAAAUGAGAAAGAAAAAAAAUCGCAAGGUUUAACCCUAUUACUAACAUUAUUAUUAUUAUUAUUAUUAUUAUUAUUAUUAUUAUUAUUAUUAUUAUUAUUAUUAUUAUAAUUAACAUUAUUACUAUUAUUAGUAUUAUUAUUAUUAAGAAAUUUCUAAAACUUACCUUAUCUAUUACUACUUUGUUUGCUACUUCGGGCUCCGACUAAAUUGAUACUCCACACACUACUACAAAUUUUACGCAAAACUCUAAAAUAAGUCCCAAGAUCAAUUAUUUUAGCUUAAUGACAUUAUUGGAAGAAAUCAUAAAAAUAAUAAUUAAUAUAAUCAUUAAUUAAAUUUUAUUCUAAAACUUAGGCUAAAAUUUAAUAUUAGAUUUGCUCCCAAAAGAUACCAUUUUUGCAACUGGGCCGAGUCCUCUCUCCCAUUUUUAGCCCACAAUAACUACUUCCAAAAAUUGGGCUCCCUCCAAUUAAAACAGCCAUUAUAAUUUUAAAAGAACUGGGCUCAUAUUAAUUUCCUCACUUCUUUUGCCCAAGUAAAUAAAAUGCUAGCCCAAUCAAUUAAAACAAAACCCACUAUAUCUAUUCAUCAUCUUCCUCACUCUACAGUAAGUCUACAGCAAGCCUAAAAUGAGAGAAUCCCCCUUUUCACUUGCUGCUAUCGCCGCCGCCAUCCUCAGCGCCACCCCCGCCAUCGACUUUUCCUCUCUCUUCUCUCUUCUCUCUUCUCUCUUCUCUCUUCUCUUCUCCCCCUCUUCACCGCCGGCAUACAGAGGCAGCGGCUUCGCCGCCCUCCUCCCGGCAGUCCGGCCGUCCCCGGACAGCAGCAGAUCUAUACCCUCUCUCUCUCGGUCGGUUUCUCUCCCUCUCUCCUGUACCGCCGCCGCCGCGGAUCUGCCGCUCCGCUUCCUCUCUAUCUCUUUCCUCUCCCACUCCUUUCUCACCCUCGGCUACCCCUCUCCUCUCUUCUUCUCUUUCGGCUCUGCCGCCGCCGCCACUGUGCAUGCACAGGCGGCGGCUUCGACCUCCUCGUCUCGCCAUUGCUGCACGCGGCGGCAGCCCACCGCUGCUGUCCCCCUCUCCGUCGGUUCUCACCGUCGCCGUAUCGACAAAUUCAAAAGAAUGAAAACAGACCGACGGUUUUGGAGCGUGGGCUGUCACCGUCGGCGACGGAGUGCCGAGCUCGCUGCCGGAAAAAAAGUAAGGUGUUGAUGGUACUCACCUCUGUGAGGUGAAGAAGAAAAUGACUUGUUGUUUUUGAACUUUGCUCUGUGAUGUGGACGCCCUUUUUCCUGUUAUGGUGGAAGGAUUCUUGGUGCCUUUUUUGGAGGUUUGAGUAAAUUUUGGUAAGGGAGGUGAAGAAGGUGAAAGUGACGGAAAAGCAAGUGGCCGACACAAUCCUAUCUAAAAAAUUCUCCUUUGUCAGGACAUAAGAUUCGCAUGCUAUUAUUAAAUGCAACAUUUAAUGCUGCUGUCAAUUUAUCCUAGAAGAUCUGCCUCAAUUUAUUUUAUAUUUGUCUCA